rnacentral:rRNA from 1 species
GACGAACGCUGGCGGCGUGCUUAACACAUGCAAGUCGAACGGAAAGGCCCUGCUUUUGUGGGGUGCUCGAGUGGCGAACGGGUGAGUAACACGUGAGUAACCUGCUCUUGACUUUGGGAUAACUUCAGGAAACUGGGGCUAAUACCGGAUAGGAGCUCCUGCUGCAUGGUGGGGGUUGGAAAGUUUCGGCGGUUGGGGAUGGACUCGCGGCUUAUCAGCUUGUUGGUGGGGUAGUGGCUUACCAAGGCUUUGACGGGUAGCCGGCAUGAGAGGGUGACCGGCCACAUCGGGACUGAGAUAUGGCCCAGACUCCUACGGGAGACAGCAGUGGGGAAUAUUGCACAAUGGGCGGAAGCCUGAUGCAGCAACGCCGCGUGCGGGAUGACGGCCUUCGGGUUGUAAACCGCUUUCGCCUGUGACGAAGCGUGAGUGACGGUAAUGGGUAAAGAAGCACCGGCUAACUACGUG